UCUCCCACGUCUCUCUAUUUUCUUUUCGGUUUCUUUUUAUUUUUUCUUGUUGUUGGCGUUAUUUUGUGGCUUCCGAAUCUCAUACCCAUAGCUCCCCAUUUCUGUUUUCACUUAAAAUCAAUUCCUCCAUUGCAGCAGUUCACACAGUUCUCCCUCGCGUUCCUCCAGUCUGCGGUUGGUUCUCUUCCUCUACAAACUCGGCUCUUCUCUUCCUCUUCUUCAGGUUUUCAUCUUCAGUUUUUGUUUUGGCCGUGAGGUUUGAGUUUACGUUUUGUGGGUUUCUGAGUUUGUCAUUCGUGUGAUCGUUGAAGCCUUUGUUGAAGAUUUUACUUGCCGUAGGUGACAAGACGGAUAGAGACCGUAUUCAAGUCAUAGAUAAUA